rnacentral:rRNA from 1 species
GACUCUCGGCAACGGAUAUCUAGGCUCUCGCAUCGAUGAAGAACGUAGCAAACUGCGAUACUUGGUGUGAAUUGCAGAAUCCCGUGAACCAUCGAGUCUUUGAACGCAAGUUGCGCCCGAAGCCAACAGGCCGAGGGCACGUCUGCCUGGGCGUCAC